rnacentral:misc_RNA from 1 species
AACCAUAGAAACCUGCGGAGUACCUGCGGAGGGAUCAUUAACACAAUCUGUGGCUGCGGUGUGCACGUCGCCCUGCCUUGCUGCGGGGGCCAACGACUGCUGCUGCCGCUCCACAAUUGGAUCCGUCCAAUUACCCCGAGAACUGUUAAAGUCUUUUCAUCUUUGUCACAGACACCGAUGAAUUGCACUCUGACUGAAAAAAAACGCAAGACGCCGCGUGUCGUGCUUUGCACUUCCGCA